GUUGACAUGAUGGUUGAAUCCGUCUUGGAAAAAUGGGAAUCUCAAAUGGAGGAAGCGGGGGGAGUUGCUUUAGCACGGGUCGACGAGGAUUUAAAAGGCUUCUCUGCUGAAGUGAUUUCAAAAGCAUGUUUUGGGAGAAAGUGCGUUAUUGGCAACGAAGUAUUUUUGAAGACGUUAGUGCUUCAGGACUUGCUAAGCAAGCAGCAUGCUUUUGUUGGUCUUCCCGGGGUAAGGCAUGUUCCUACAAGACUGCUCAUGACAUUAGGAGGAUACGAAAAGAGGUAGACCGAUCAGUUCCUGAAGCUGAUAGGCAGUGAUGAUUACAAUGCGGAGAGGCAGAGCUUCUUAGUGAGGGAGUUUUGUCAGUGCAAGUCCGCUGAAUUCGGAAGGUCUGCGUACCUGAGAAACAACAGGGGAAUUCUGUUCGGUUAUGACAGUCUCAUCACUUCUAAAGGAAAAUCCUGGGCGCUCCAGAGAAAAGUCAUUGCGCCUGAAUUCUUCAAUGACAUAGCUAGGCAGGGAAUGGUGGACAUGAUGGUUGAAUCUGCUGUCUCUGUCUUGGAAAAGUGGGAAUCUCAAAUGGAGGAAGCGGGGGAAGUUACUUCAGUACGGGUCGAUGAGGAUUUAAAAAGCCUUUCUGCCGAAAUGAUUUCAAAAGCAUGCUUUGGGAGCAAUCAUCUUAUUGGCAAUGAAAUUUUUUCUAAGAUGUUAGUGCUUCAGGAUUUGCUAAGCAAGCAGCAUGCUUUUGUUGGUCUUCCCGGGGUAAGUUGAGGGUGCCUCCUUCUCUGGGGUUAGAAAACUCUAAAUGGGGCGACAGGUUUGUUAAAGUUUGCUUUCAAGUUUCUACGGCAAGUUCUGACUGAGAAGUUUGUGUUCUUUCAGACAAUAAUAAUGAGGCAGAAAUGAUUCCACAUGUUUACCCCGUAUCAGCUACUGUAUCAUAUGCCGCGUUACGUAUGCAGCAAAAGUUCCUUCCGAUAAAUUCUUAAGAAACCUUGGAUGCUUGUGACAGCCCAUGGACCAAGCAUGAUCCGAGACCGUCUGUGAUUCGGCCAUGUCACGCACAAGGGCUUUGCCCGCAGACAGCCCUGAUUGAUCCAUGAAUGAUCCACAAACUGUGCACGAUCAGCCCAUGUGCGAUACGAGCAAAAGCCCAUGCACGACCAAUGACCGAGCCAUGAUCAAUGUUCGGCCAACCCAUGUGCAACCUGCAGUGGUUCACCUACUUCAUGUCAGGCGGUCAUGCUGACCCUAAUCUUGCUUUUGACAAGCGCCCAUGGUUUUUCCAAGGCCUAGAGCCAUUGAGUGGCUUGCUAUGUGCAGACUUGACAUGAUGAUAUAUAUUCAAACUCCACUAUUGGAUUGGACGGAUGAUCAAUGGCUGGGAUAAGACUUGAACUUGUAUAAAUAGGGGUCCCUUCCCUUGUUGAGUUUAGCUCGUUCAUAGCAAAUAGACUCGCCCCUUUGUGUCUACGAUCCUUGUGUUUGUGCAUGUGUGUAAGGCUGACUUGAGAUCGCAAAUC